rnacentral:rRNA from 1 species
AGUGAACGCUGGCGGUAGGCCUAACACAUGCAAGUCGAACGGCAGCACAGUAAGAGCUUGCUCUUACGGGUGGCGAGUGGCGGACGGGUGAGGAAUACAUCGGAAUCUACUUUUUCGUGGGGGCUAACGUAGGGAAACUUACGCUAAUACCGCAUACGACCUACGGGUGAAAGCAGGGGAUCUUCGGACCUUGCGCGAUUGAAUGAGCCGAUGUCGGAUUAGCUAGUUGGCGGGGUAAAGGCCCACCAAGGCGACGAUCCGUAGCUGGUCUGAGAGGAUGAUCAGCCACACUGGAACUGAGACACGGUCCAGACUCCUACGGGAGGCAGCAGUGGGGAAUAUUGGACAAGGGGGGCAAGCCUGAUCCAGCCAUACCGCGUGGGUGAAGAAGGCCUUCGGGUUGUAAAGCCCUUUUGUUGGGAAAGAAAAGCAGCAGGUUAAUACCCCGCUGUUCUGACGGUACCCAAAGAAUAAGCACCGGCUAACUUCGUG